UACGUAGGGUGCGAGCGUUGUCCGGAAUUACUGGGCGUAAAGAGCCCGUAGGUGGUUUGUCGCGUUGUUCGUGAAAUCUCACGGCUUAACUGUGAGCGUGCGGGCGAUACGGGCAGACUGGAGUACUGCAGGGGAGACUGGAAUUCCUGGUGUAGCGGUGGAAUGCGCAGAUAUCAGGAGGAACACCGGUGGCGAAGGCGGGUCUCUGGGCAGUAACUGACGCUGAGGAGCGAAAGCGUGGGGAGCGAACAGG
rnacentral:rRNA from 1 species